CGGCGGCCGUAAAGCGAUGAAGUGUCGUGAGGGUGGCGGGUUUUUCGCUUGCUGUCUGUCUCAGCAGCCGGGGGUGCCCAAUGGAGUCCGUCUGUGUCGAGGAGCUGCUGGAGGAUCUCAAGGUCUUCGGGGUGGGCUAUGAAGAAGAGGAGGUGCCCGACAAACUGGUUGAACUAUGCAUGACGCACAGACUGGCACAGGGUGACUUGGCUAAUGAAUUAGUUGCCUUCACUACAACUAAAGAAGACGGGUCUCGUCUCACUGUAGAGAUCCUGAAUGUCUUUGAACAUGAAGUACUCAACAAAAGAGUUACUAAAGCUCAUCAAAAAAAGGACAACAGAUACUCUGGAAUCAAAGAUAUAAACACCAUUCAGGGACUCAUUGACGUAGAGGAGGAAGAGGAGAACCUCUUAGAUGCCUACACUACACCGUCAAAAGGCUCUCAGAAACGGAACAUAACGACACCAGAGAAUCCACGGUCUAAAAGGACUUUAUCCACCCGUAGCCCCCACUUAGUUUUCUCUCCAAACAGCUUCUCACCAAGCGCUACUCCCUCUCAGAAGUAUGGCUCCCGGAGCAACCGGGGUGAGGUGGUAACCUCAUUCGGCUCUGUACAGGACACGUCCUGGAGUGGAAAAGGAGGCCAUGGAUCAAGUGUGAAGCUCUUUGGUCCACCAGAACGGUUGCUCACCAAGAGUUACAAAUUCAUGUUCCAAAAGCUUCAUGACAUCCGGGAAGUACUGUCCUGGAAGAUAGAAGAACUCGGGGAUGCACUGAAGAAACAUUACAAGAUCGAGGAGUUCACCUCUGUGUUAGUCCCUGCACAGGAACCGGUCACUGUGCUGGGACAGAUUGGCUGUGACAGCAACGGAAAACUGAAUGGCAAGUCAGUCAUUCUAGAAGGGGAUCGGGAACACUCUUCAGGAGGGCAAGUUCCUGUAGAUUUAUCAGAACUGAAAGAAUACUCCCUCUUUCCAGGACAGGUUGUGGUGAUGGAGAGUAUUAACAGUACGGGUGGAAAACUGGUUGCAUCUAAGCUAUAUGAGGGAGUGCCUCUUCCUUUCUACCAAUCUACUAAGCAAGUUGACGAUUUGGAGCUGCAAAUAGUCUUGGUUGCUUGUGGGCCCUACACAACUUCUGACAGCAUCACCUAUGACCCUAUGUUGGAUCUGAUUGAUAUUAUCAACAAAGACAAGCCAGAUGUUUGCAUCCUGUUUGGUCCUUUUCUCGAUGCUAAACAUGAGCAAGUUGAGAACGGUCAGCUCAUUGGAUCCUUUGAGGAUAUCUUUAAACAUUGUCUGAAGAUGAUAAUUGAAGGGACAAGAAGUGCUGGUUCCCAGCUUGUGUUUGUACCAUCGCUGAGAGACGUGCACCAUGACUUCAUAUAUCCUCAGCCACCUUUCAGCUAUGAGCUGUCUAAAGAUGACAAACAGCGAGUACACUUUGUGUCUGACCCCUGCACUCUGGCAAUAAAUGGAGUCAUUUUUGGCCUGACUUCCACAGACCUGCUCUUCCAUAUGGGUACUGAAGAGAUUAGCAGCUCUUCCGGUGUCUCAGACCGCUUCACCCGAAUCCUUAAUCAUGUCCUGACACAGAGAAGUUAUUACCCACUCUACCCUCCCUCGGAAGAGAUGAACGUUGAUUAUGAGAACUUCUAUAAUUACAUCCCUUUGCCAGUCACCCCGGAUGUCCUCAUUGUUCCAUCUGAGCUGAGAUAUUUUGUUAAGGACGUCUUAGGCUGUGUGUGUGUGAACCCAGGACGGCUCACCAAAGGCCAGGUUGGGGGGACCUACAGCCGUCUGUACAUACAGAAGCAGGAUACAGAGGAAGAGCGAAAGAGUCCCUGCAUUGCUGCCCAAGUUGUCAAAAUCUAAACAGACUCUCUGCCCCCUACCCUUAAAACAGAGAUGCUGGCCUUGAGUUCAGUAGGGGUUCAAAUCCAGCCUGGUUGGACAUCCGUUAGAUUUGGUCAAAAGAUGCAAGGAUGAUCUGGCGAAGGGGCUCGGAGAGCAGUGUAAUACCUCCCCUUCUGUCAGGACUGUUGUUUUCCAGAAUCUUUUGCAGAGAUUUUUGUAGCAAAUCAGACAUUUGUGUUAGAGUUUUUUAAGGCUCUUCAGCCAGUUGCAAUCAGGAAUGCAAACCUUGUUAAUGCAAAUGUGAACAUGGAGCCCUGACUUGGAUCAGCUUGUCUUCUGUUGUAAUUUGCCAAGGGGAAAGUUUGUCAGCUCAACAGAGCGAACUGCAAUUUAAAAUACCCCCCGAGUUUUCUAAAAGUUCAUGCUUUCAGCUCUGUUUCCAGGCUGUCCCUUGAGUUUUGUCAGUAUCAGCAGAGGCAUCUGCUCCAGAAGCAGCUAGAAGCCCUAGCCAAGAUGGGGAAACUCAUUGUUGUGUUCGGACACAUAGUGAGUGAGAAUCCCUGCCGCAAAGAGCUUGCCAUCUAAACAGACAAGACAAGCAAAGGAAGGGUUACUAUUUUCAAUGUAUAAAUGGAGAAUCUGAGGCAGAGACCAGAGGGUACUUGGCUAAGGUUACACAGGAAUUUUCCGGCAGAAUAAGGACCCAGAUUUUCCUGAGUUUCAGCUGAAUGCUUUAACCACAUGCUAUUCCUUUCUCUUGCUGAAAUUAUUUUUCGUUGAUGCCAAGGUACCGGCACAAAUACACAUCUAGCUGUCUGUGCUUCCAAGUACUGAAUACUGUGCAGUCACUGCUCUUAAAUCUGGCCUGAUUUGGGCCUCUUUCAUAUGAAAAAACAGGACUCAACUGGUAAUAGUGGGCCAUAUGGUCUAUGUGUAACUUUAAAAUUCCGGUUGAUCAGUGUAUGUAUGUGCAUGGAGCUCUCUCUAACACACACAACGAGCACCUAUUUUACCUCCACUAUUAGGAAUCAACUAGCAGCUCAGAGUGACUUAUAGGCAGCCUCUAAUCUUUCCUAAUGCUUGGCUUCUGUGUAAACUGUCUCCCCAUUCUUUUCCCCCGCUUACACUAGACUGGAUCCCCUCCCCCAACACAAGUACAACUCCCAGAUGCACAGAAAAGCAUGGUUUUCUCUAAGAGGUUUGUAAUCUGCUCAUGCCCCAGCCCUGUUCUUUGUUGGUGGCACUGAUGCUACUGGCAAAUGUUGGGCUGGCCAAGUGCAGAUGCUGCAACGUGGAAGUUGCCUAAGUAAGGCUGUUUGGGGUACUGCAGAGUGGGCAGGCACAGUCAAUGCAUUAGA